rnacentral:rRNA from 1 species
CCUACGGGUGGCACCAGUGGGGAAUAUUGCACAAUGGGCGCAAGCCUGGUGCAGCCAUGCCGCGUGUGUGAAGAAGGCCUUCGGGUUGUAAAGCACUUUCAGCGAGGAGGAAGGUGGUGAGCUUAAUACGCUCAUCAAUUGACGUUACUCGCAGAAGAAGCACCGGCUAACUCCGUGCCAGCAGCCGCGGUAAUACGGAGGGUGCAAGCGUUAAUCGGAAUUACUGGGCGUAAAGCGCACGCAGGCGGUUUGUUAAGUCAGAUGUGAAAUCCCCGGGCUCAACCUGGGAACUGCAUUUGAAACUGGCAAGCUAGAGUCUCGUAGAGGGGGGUAGAAUUCCAGGUGUAGCGGUGAAAUGCGUAGAGAUCUGGAGGAAUACCGGUGGCGAAGGCGGCCCCCUGGACAAAGACUGACGCUGAGGCUCGAAAGCGUGGGGAGCAAACAGGAUUAGAUACCCGCGUAGUC